rnacentral:rRNA from 1 species
ACUUCUUAGAGGGACAAGUGGCGUAUAGCCACGCGAGAUUGAGCAAUAACACGUCUGUGAUGCCCUUAGAUGUUCGGGGCGCACGCGCGCUACACUGGCGGAAUCAGCGGGUUCACCGCCCUUGGCCGGUAGGUCUGGGUAAUCCGCUGAACCUCCUCCGUGAUGGGGAUAGGGAAUUGCAAUUAUUUCCCUUGAACGAGGAAUUCCCAGUAAGCGCGAGUCAUCAGCUCGCGUUGAU